rnacentral:rRNA from 1 species
GAAGCGGCAACAGCUCAAAUUUGAAAUCUGGCCUCUUUGGGGUCCGAGUUGUAAUUUGUAGAGGAUGUUUCGGGUACCGCCUCGGUUUAAAUUUCUUGGAACAGAAUGUCAGAGAGGGUGAGAAUCCCGUCUUGGACCGGCGGUAGGGCCCAUGUGAAACUCCUUCGACGAGUCGAGUUGUUUGGGAAUGCAGCUCAAAAUGGGUGGUAAAUUUCAUCUAAAGCUAAAUAUUGGCCAGAGACCGAUAGCGCACAAGUAGAGUGAUCGAAAGAUGAAAAGAACUUUGAAAAGAGAGUUAAACAGUAUGUGAAAUUGUUGAAAGGGAAGCGCUUGCAACCAGACUUGAGCGCGGCGGUUCCCCCUUCCUUUUGGUUGGGUUACUCCGCCGUGUCCAGGCCAACAUCGGUUCUGGGGGUCGGUUAAAGGCCCGGGGAAUGUACCUACUCCUUCGGGGGUAGACUUAUAGCCCCGGGUGUCAUGCGACCACCCGGGACCGAGGAACGCGCUUCGGCUCGGAUGUUGGCGUAAUGGUUGUCAGCGACCCGUCUUGAAACACGGACCAAGGAGUCUAACAUCUAUGCGAGUGUUUGGGUGUCAAACCCGGAACGCGAAAUGAAAGUGAACGGAGGUAGGAAGCCUUUGGGCUGCACUAUCGACCGAUCCUGAUGUCUUCGGAUGGAUUUGAGUAAGAGCAUAGCUGUUGGGACCCGAAAGAUGGUGAAC